UGCUGACGAGCGGCGGACGGGUGAGUAAUGCAUAGGAAUCUGCCCGAUAGUGGGGGAUAACCUGGGGAAACCCAGGCUAAUACCGCAUACGUCCUACGGGAGAAAGGGGGCUCCGGCUCCCGCUAUGGGAUGAGCCUAUGUCGGAUUAGCUAGUUGGUGAGGUAACGGCUCACCAAGGCCACGAUCCGUAGCUGGUCUGAGAGGAUGAUCAGCCACAUCGGGACUGAGACACGGCCCGAACUCCUACGGGAGGCAGCAGUGGGGAAUAUUGGACAAUGGGGGAAACCCUGAUCCAGCCAUGCCGCGUGUGUGAAGAAGGCCCUCGGGUUGUAAAGCACUUUCAGCGAGGAAGAACGCCUGGCGGUUAAUACCCGCUAGGAAAGACAUCACUCGCAGAAGAAGCACCGGCUAACUCCGUGCCAGCAGCCGCGGUAAUACGGAGGGUGCAAGCGUUAAUCGGAAUUACUGGGCGUAAAGCGCGCGUAGGUGGCUUGAUAAGCCGGUUGUGAAAGCCCCGGGCUCAACCUGGGAACGGCAUCCGGAACUGUCAAG
rnacentral:rRNA from 1 species